rnacentral:tRNA from 1 species
CAAAAUAAAGCUUAGAAGUUAAGUGUUCCAUUUACACUGGGAAGGAGUUCGUGCAAUUCGAAUUAUUUUGA